GGGGGUGAUUGGUCUCGACACCGGACGUUGAGACAGGAGAAGCGGGCCGAGGAAGGCAACGAUGAGCUCGUAAACCAUGCGUUGCAACCAAUUAAGCGCCGAUGUUAAUCAGCGCGAGCUCGCUCUUGCUGCCUAAGUAAGAGCGACUCUGUCAGACCGGGAGUGCCUUCGGCCCGGACCCUGGCAUCAGCUAGAGGGCUUACUUGCUGGCCCGGCUAUCGGGGCCAGCUAGGACAUCUCACAGUGGCUGGGCUCGUCGCACCGGCUUGUUCGCGUGACCGGUGGGGCCGAGUAGAGACAUAGCGAACUGCGCCCGGAGAAGACCUGUUGAGGCGACGGUGGACGCGGGUUCGAUUCCCGCCACCUCCACGC
rfam:Cryptosporangium aurantiacum strain DSM 46144 genome assembly, contig: Ga0131100_128